GCUUGUGCAACAACUUCCAUCYGACUUACCUUUUCAGUUUAUUGUCAAAUGCUUCUAAAGCAUUGGUGGAUUAUUCAUGGGUUUCUUGUGUUGCCUACCUAUUUGAUGGAAUUGUCUAAUGACUUAUAAUUGGAUUUCAUGUUACAUCUUAAAUGUGGUGUGAGAUGAACCUUUAAGCGUUCUUUGUGAACCACAUCUUUAAUGCUUAUGUAUUAUUCGGUGUGGUUCAUUUUGAUUUGCUUGGUCUCUUGGAUAUGGAACUUGAUGUGGGCAUGGGGCUUUAUGAGCCCUUUUGUUGUCCUGUUUAAGCGUUCUUGCUUCUCUAAUACGAUUGUCUAUCACGUAUGGUACGUCUCAGCGUGGUAGGCUAUGUCGGAGAUGAAUGCUACCUGGUUGAUCCU
rnacentral:misc_RNA from 1 species